rnacentral:lncRNA from 1 species
UGAAUUUAUUCAGAUGUCUAGACUUGUAGAUGACUUUUCAAAGAAUUUCCAUUAAGACACUGUAUUUCAUAUUACUCUUCAAAGCUACCUCUCUAUUGUCAUUAUCCAUCAGAUGAGCCAGAGGUUAUUUUAGGUUCAUACUGUAUUAGCUGCGGACAUUUUCUGAUAAGAGGAUACUGAGCAUAAUUACAGGAUACCAUGGCAUUACAUUUAUCCAUGACUUCAAGUGAAAAUCUUCCUUCAUUAA